rnacentral:rRNA from 1 species
AACCCACUAACGUUGAAAAGUUAGGGGAUGAGCUGUGGAUAGGGGUGAAAGGCUAAACAAACCUGGAGAUAGCUGGUUCUCUCCGAAAACUAUUUAGGUAGUGCCUCAAGUAUCACCAUCGGGGGUAGAGCACUGUUAUGGCUAGGGGGUCAUGGCGACUUACCAAACCAUUGCAAACUCCGAAUACCGAUGAGUACAGCUUGGGAGACAGUGCACCGGGUGCUAACGUCCG